rnacentral:rRNA from 1 species
AUACGGAGGGUGCAAGCGUUACUCGGAAUCACUGGGCGUAAAGCGCGCGCAGGCGGGCUGAUAAGUUGGAUGUGAAAGCCUACGGCUCAACCGUAGAACUGCAUCCAAAACUGUCAGUCUAGAGUGUGGGAGAGGAAGAUGGAAUUAGUUGUGUAGGGGUAAAAUCCGUAGAGAUAACUAGGAAUACCAAAAGCGAAGGCAAUCUUCUGGAACACUACUGACGCUGAGGCGCGAAGGCGUGGGGAGCAAACAGGAGUAGAUACCCUAGUAGUCCC